UACGGAGGGUGCAAGCGUUGCUCGGAAUUAUUGGGCGUAAAGGGCAAGUAGGUGGUCUCAUUUGUCAGGGGUGAAAGCCUUGGGCUUAACUCAAGAAGUGCCCCAGAAACGGUGAGACUAGAGUGCUGGAGAGGGUCGUGGAAUUCCCGGUGUAGCGGUGAAAUGCGUAGAGAUCGGGAGGAACACCAGAGGCGAAGGCGGCGACCUGGACAGCGACUGACACUCAACUGCGAAAGCGUGGGGAGCAAACAGG
rnacentral:rRNA from 1 species